rnacentral:rRNA from 1 species
UACGAAGGGGGCUAGCGUUGCUCGGAAUCACUGGGCGUAAAGCGCACGUAGGCGGGUCUUUAAGUCGGAGGUGAAAUCCUGGAGCUCAACUCCAGAACUGCCUUCGAUACUGAGGAUCUCGAGUCCGGGAGAGGUGAGUGGAACUGCGAGUGUAGAGGUGAAAUUCGUAGAUAUUCGCAAGAACACCAGUGGCGAAGGCGGCUCACUGGCCCGGUACUGACGCUGAACGGCGAAAGCUAGGGGAGCAAACGGG